rnacentral:lncRNA from 1 species
GUUUCGGCUCCUGUUCUGUGGGCGGCUGAGGACCGCCGGCUGCCCGGCUCGGAGAAGAACAGUGCGGCUUGGAGAAGUCUUGGGAAUCAAACGGCAUGAACUUAGAUUCCUGUUACACAACUUUUCAAUGAGGGAGGAGGAUAUCGAAUACCUCACUCAGUCUUCGGGAAUGGAGCCUUCAAAAACACUUUUGUGAGGCCGGGCGCGGUGGCUCACGCAUGUAAUCCCAGCACUUUGGAAGGCCAAGGCGGGCGGAUCACGAGGUCAGGAGUUCAAGCCUUGCCAACAUGGUGAAACCCCGUCUCUACUAAAAAUACACAAAUUAGCUGGGCAUGGUGGCGCGCGCCUGUAAUCUCAGCUACUCGGGAGGCUGAGGCAGGAGAAUCGCUUGAACCGGGACCCGGGAAGCAAAGGUUGCAGUGAGCGGAGAUCGCGCCACUGCACUCCAGCCUGAGCUACAGAGCGAGACUCCGUCUCAAAAAAAAAAAAAAAAAAGAAAGAAAAAGAAAAAAGAAAAAAAAAAAAGAAAGAAAGAAAAGAAAGAAAAAACCCUUGUGAGCCGCCUAAAAACCGUCCUGUGAGCAUCUCAUCCCCACACUGGCGCUGCCACCCGCACGGACCUUCCAACUUCGCACUGUUCCAUUUUCUCUAUGUGCUUUUCAGCCCAUCCUUGGAGUUGCUCUGUAAGAAGGACUUUCGGAGUGAAACUCCACAGUGCGGUUCAAAGACACGCUUAGGAUGCCCCGGGAUGGAGAGAGGACUGAGCUUGGACUGGAAUUCCUGGAACAGACGAGGGCUUGUGAGCUUGUCCCAGGCACUGAGGACAGCAUACUCUUCCCGACAAGGGCAUCUGGGUCGAGAGAAGGUGGAGCGGGUCUUCGGCAAAGGCGAAACCCUGGAGAACGCUGCCCCACCCCACCCUGUAAGCGUGGACGAGUAAUAAUCUCCCGGCCUCAGUUUCCACCCUCUGCUUAUAUCAAUUUUAAGAAGCUUUAUUUUUUCUAAGAUGAUUUUCCCUACAUAUUUCUUGUCUCCCUCACUGCCAUUCCCGCCCCUCCCCCCCAAAAUACAUUGUAAAUCUUUUUCCUCCUACGGUUAAUUUUAAAGAACCACAAAAGUUUGCAUAAGACAGAAUUUACCUGCCCAUAUAUUUCUGUUGAAGGUGGAAAAUUGUUUUUACGUGGCAAG